GAUGAACGCUGGCGGCAUGCCUAAGACAUGCAAGUCGUACGAAGCGGCCCAAUGAUUUAUUUAGAAACACUGAGAGCUUGCUCAAAGUGUGGAAGAAUAAUGAUUUGGAUUUUCCGCUUAGUGGCAAACGGGUGAGUAACACGUGGGUUACCUACCUCCUAGAUGGGGAUACCAAUUGGAAACGAUUGUUAAUACCGAAUGUGAUCUAUGGAUUAAAGGAGCCUUUAAAGCUUCGCUUGAAGAUGAGCCUGCGUCGUAUAGCUAGUUGGUGGGUAAUGGCCUACGAAGGCGACGAUGCGUAGCCGACUGAGAGGU
rnacentral:rRNA from 1 species